UACAGAGGUCUCAAGCGUUGUUCGGAUUCAUUGGGCGUAAAGGGUGCGUAGGCGGCGCGGUAAGUCGGGUGUGAAAUUUCGAGGCUUAACUUCGAAACUGCAUUCGAUACUGCCGUGCUUGAGGACUGGAGAGGAGACUGGAAUUUACGGUGUAGCGGUGAAAUGCGUAGAGAUCAUGAGGAAGACCAGUGGCGAAGGCGGGUCUCUGGACAGUUCCUGACACUGAGACACGAAGGCCAGGGGAGCAAACGGG
rnacentral:rRNA from 1 species